UCAAGAGUACGUGAAACCGCUUAGGGGUUAAGCCCGUUGAACCCGAAUAUCUGAAAGUGGAAAUUCAAUGUUAGAAUUUAUUUUAUAUAAAUUUCAAAUAUGCACUUUUCUCUUGAUGACGUUGCGAUCCAUUAAUAAUUUAUCAUAAGAAUAAAUGUUAUAUGUUUGUAAAAGUUAUGAUAUUUUUAUUAUAAAUUUUUUUGCAAUAUAUAUUUAUUCUGGUAAAUAUAAUUGAUGGUUUUUAAAGAUAAUACCAUGCACUAUAAGUGUAUCACAUUAUGUGAUGUGUAUAUAUAUCUGAUUAGCAACGAAUAUGUUUGGGAUACCUUCGGGACCCGUCUUGAAACACGGACUAAGGAGUCUAGCAUAUAUGCAAGUUAUUGAAUUUUAAAUUCAAAAGCAUAAUUAACAUAACUAUUAUGGGUUUACCUAUGUAAUUUAUAUUAUAUAAUUCAAACCCGGGAUGUCUCAAUAAUGUCAUUAUGACAUAGAGGCAUACUUUGAGCAUAUACGCUAGGACCCGAAA
rnacentral:rRNA from 1 species